GUUUGGUCUAUUACUUCUGCUUUCUCAGGUCCAAAAAUUGCCACUAGAAAAGUGAAACAUGAGAAGUGCUAAAUUAAGACUGGACUGACUUUACAAAAAUCACAUAAGUGCAGAUGAAUAAAGGCAAUUUACUUAAACUGGUGUGCACAAAAUUCAGGAUCUGCUUGCGAUGUUCCUCCAACACAAGGUCCCGCUGGUUCAAGGAGUCCAGGUCAUGGAGAGCACAGGGAAACACUGCAUCGGGUGGAAAGACGAGUGCAGAGGCCCCUGCAUUCCCAAAACAAAUGUUCUCAUUCCAAAACUCUCAGUAACAUUGUAUCAGGUGCUUGAUCUUCACUAUAAAAUACAAAUGGUGCUAAUGUUUUAAUAAAAUCAUUCUUAAAUAGAA